CCCUAUGUCUUCUUCUCUUCCCUCUCUCUCAUCUCUUUAGUAGAUUGAGCUAUUUGCAAUCAAUGUCGAUGAAGGGCCUUAGGAGAAGUAUUUGUGGUCAUUGGUGAUGAGGAGAUUAACAUCGAUGAGACAGUCGGCAAUACCUUGCUCAACCCCCUCAAUGGUGAGGUUUAGCCAUCAAGCCCAUUAGCAAAAUUGGAGCAAGUGGCUGUCCUGCGAAAGUGGAUUGGAGAAGGAAGAGCAGUUGAUGUUGGACCUAGCGGUGGCUAAGGGAUUGACCAACCAAGUUACUUGG
rnacentral:lncRNA from 1 species